GUGCUCACUUGGGCAGCACAUACACUAACAUUGGGACAAUACAGAGAAGAUUAGCAUGGACAUUGAUCAAGAAUUCAUGAAGUGCUCCACAGUUUU
ensembl:snRNA U6 U6 spliceosomal RNA